GUCGAACGCUGGCGGCGGGCUUAAUACAUGCAAGUCGAGCGAGUGGCGGACGGGUGAGUAAUGUCUGGGAAACUGCCCGAUGGAGGGGGAUAACUACUGGAAACGGUAGCUAAUACCGCAUACCAUCAGAUGUGCCCAGAUGGGAUUAGCUAGUAGGUGGGGUAACGGCUCACCUAGGCGACGAUCCCUAGCUGGUCUGAGAGGAUGACCAGCCACACUGGAACUGAGACACGGUCCAGACUCCUACGGGAGGCAGCAGUGGGGAAUAUUGCACAAUGGGCGCAAGCCUGAUGCAGCCAUGCCGGGGGUAUGAAGAAGGCCUUCGGGUUGUAAAGUACUUUCAGCGAGGAGGCGUUACUCGCAGAAGAAGCACCGGCUAACUCCGUGCCAGCAGCCGCGGUAAUUC
rnacentral:rRNA from 1 species